rnacentral:rRNA from 1 species
ACUUAAAUUGAAGAGUUUGAUCAUGGCUCAGAUUGAACGCUGGCGGCAGGCCUAACACAUGCAAGUCGAGCGGUAGCACAGAGAGCUUGCUCUCGGGUGACGAGCGGCGGACGGGUGAGUAAUGUCUGGGAAACUGCCUGAUGGAGGGGGAUAACUACUGGAAACGGUAGCUAAUACCGCAUAACGUCGCAAGACCAAAGUGGGGGACCUUCGGGCCUCAUGCCAUCAGAUGUGCCCAGAUGGGAUUAGCUAGUAGGUGGGGUAAUGGCUCACCUAGGCGACGAUCCCUAGCUGGUCUGAGAGGAUGACCAGCCACACUGGAACUGAGACACGGUCCAGACUCCUACGGGAGGCAGCAGUGGGGAAUAUUGCACAAUGGGCGCAAGCCUGAUGCAGCCAUGCCGCGUGUGUGAAGAAGGCCUUCGGGUUGUAAAGCACUUUCAGCGGGGAGGAAGGCGAUAAGGUUAAUAACCUUGUCGAUUGACGUUACCCGCAGAAGAAGCACCGGCUAACUCCGUGCCAGCAGCCGCGGUAAUACGGAGGGUGCAAGCGUUAAUCGGAAUUACUGGGCGUAAAGCGCACGCAGGCGGUCUGUCAAGUCGGAUGUGAAAUCCCCGGGCUCAACCUGGGAACUGCAUUCGAAACUGGCAGGCUAGAGUCUUGUAGAGGGGGGUAGAAUUCCAGGUGUAGCGGUGAAAUGCGUAGAGAUCUGGAGGAAUACCGGUGGCGAAGGCGGCCCCCUGGACAAAGACUGACGCUCAGGUGCGAAAGCGUGGGGAGCAAACAGGAUUAGAUACCCGUGGUAGUCCACGCC